AUUGAACGCUGGCGGCAGGCCUAACACAUGCAAGUCGAGCGGACGAAGGGAGCUUGCUCCUGGAUUCAGCGGCGGACGGGUGAGUAAUGCCUAGGAAUCUGCCUGGUAGUGGGGGAUAACGUCCGGAAACGGGCGCUAAUACCGCAUACGUCCUGAGGGAGAAAGUGGGGGAUCUUCGGACCUCACGCUAUCAGAUGAGCCUAGGUCGGAUUAGCUAGUUGGUGGGGUAAAGGCCUACCAAGGCGACGAUCCGUAACUGGUCUGAGAGGAUGAUCAGUCACACUGGAACUGAGACACGGUCCAGACUCCUACGGGAGGCAGCAGUGGGGAAUAUUGGACAAUGGGCGAAAGCCUGAUCCAGCCGUGCCGCGUGUGUGAAGAAGGUCUUCGGAUUGUAAAGCACUUUAAGUUGGGAGGAAGAGCAGUAAGUUAAUACCUUGCUGUUUUGACGUUACCAACAGAAUAAGCACCGGCUAACUUCGUG
rnacentral:rRNA from 1 species